rnacentral:rRNA from 1 species
UGCCAGACUCCUACGGGAGGCAGCAGUGGGGAAUAUUGGGCAAUGGACGCAAGUCUGACCCAGCAACGCCGCGUGAAGGAAGAAGGCUUUCGGGUUGUAAACUUCUUUUAAGGGGGAAGAGCAGAAGACGGUACCCCUUGAAUAAGCCACGGCUAACUACGUGCCAGCAGCCGCGGUAAUACGGAGGAUGCGAGCGUUAUCCGGAUUUAUUGGGUUUAAAGGGUGCGCAGGCGGCACGGCAAGCCGGCGGUCAAAUCGCGGGGCUCAACCCCGCCCAGCCGUCGGAACUGCCGGGCUAGAGUGGGCGAGAAGUGCGCGGAAUGCGUGGUGUAGCGGUGAAAUGCAUAGAUAUCACGCAGAACUCCGAUUGCGAAGGCAGCGUACCGGCGCCCAACUGACGCUGAAGCACGAAGGCGUGGGUAUCGAACAGGAUUAGAUACCCUCGUA